GGGCCCGCACAAGCGGUGGAGUAUGUGGUUUAAUUCGACGCAACGCGCAGAACCUUACCCAGUCUUGACAUCCUACGAAUCUGAUAGAAGUAUCGGAGUGCCUCCGCAAGGAGGAAUGUAGUGACAGGUGCUGCAUGGCUGUCGUCAGCUCGUGUCGUGAGAUGUUCGGUUAAGUCCGGCAACGAGCGCAACCCACAUCCCUAGUUGCCAGCAGUUCGGCUGGGCACUCUAUGGAAACUGCCCGUGAUAAGCGGGAGGAAGGUGUGGAUGACGUCAAGUCCUCAUGGCCCUUACGGGUUGGGCUACACACGUGCUACAAUGGUGGUGACAAUGGGUUAAUCCCAAAAAGCCAUCUCAGUUCGGAUUGGGGUCUGCAACUCGACCCCAUGAAGUCGGAAUCGCUAGUAAUCGCGUAAC
rnacentral:rRNA from 1 species